AUAUAUGCAUUAUAUAUAUAUAUGCAUGUUAUGUAUGCAUGCACAGACACACUAUAUAUAGGGUCCUACAUUUAGGCCUUAGCUUAAUGAGUACUACUUUGGUAUCCCUGUAUUAGAGAGGAAGUAGUGUGGGGAGAAGCAAGUGAUGUGAAGGGAGAAUAUAUAUAUGAAAAAUGAGGCAGGAAAAGACAAAGAUUGAAAGAGAAAUCUACAAUGUUCCACUUUGGAACUGUUAGAAGUGGGACCAUUUGUCACCAGCACCCUCUGAUGUAUAUACGCGGUUCAUGCCAAUGGCAAGAGAGAAGAGCUCAGCUGAUGCCAACCUUCUCUUUAUAGAACUAAAAAUAUGUAUUUAUCGGUGUCUUUUCUUUUUUUGUUCAUUCUCUCUCUCCCUCUUUCUCUCUCUUUCUUUUUUCAUUUUUCUUUUUUUUAAAGAGAAACAGUAGAAAUAGGGAUUAUUUUGUGCCUAGUUUUGUAAAAGUAAUUUAUUUCUUCUUCUUUUAUGUUUUUUGUGACAAUGACAUAGCAGGUGUAUUUUUGAAUGGGGGGGAACUUAUACACCACUUUACCUCAUUGGAACAGAAAUGUGUCCAGUCAGUUACCCUGUUACAUGUGCUCAUGUUGAUUUUUGCUGUCCGAGAUGCCUGCAAUUAGUUUACAGCCAUGUAAGUUAAUGUGAAAGUUAAUCAGUUUUUAACCUUGGGAUUGAUAAAUUGCAGUUCUGCUGUCAGGUAGGAUGAUGUUUUGUUCACGUUUCAUUAACUUACUCAGAAGCUUUCUGAGAACAUACUAUUGUGUCCUUAACUUUACAGCCAUCUCCCUUUUUUUAUGAAGUUAAGGAUGAAUUGAGUGAAUUACCAUGAACAAUUGUAACAAAUGGCUGAUUUCUCUCCAGAAUGGGUAAAGAGAUUAUUUAGAGGUAUGUUCAAAGAUUUGCUGUCAACUUCAGUUUAGUUUUUGUUAAAAAUAAAACAAUUUAAUGAAGUCUAUCAAUGGACAUUCACCUGGACUAGGGUAUUAGAAUUGGAAAAUGAAAUUGGAUAGCUACAAGGGUGGAACUGAUUAAUCUGGUUUCAGUGUCCAAGCUGAGACAACUAUUAACCAAGAAAACAGUACAAAUAUGGAGAAAUAAAUUGAGAAAGAAAUGUAUUUUAAAUAAAAAAUCCUUCCAGUCUAUCUGAGAUAUUAAACCAAUACAGAGAAGGACUUAAAAUAUUAGCUUUGACAAUGUCCUUUUAAGCACUCUUGGUGUCUUUUCUUCUGUUUUGGUGUUGCCCAAUUUAUCUAGCGCAAACAUUUUUAGAAGUGUGGUGCUGUUAAGGACAGAUAUGAAAUCUUGACAGCAACACAUGAGUUUGAUUUUCCAUACAACUGAGUUGUUCCUUCUUUGACUCCCCCCCACACACACACACACACAUGCACACAUGCAUACACACCAUUUGAGAAAGAAUGUCAGAGAAGCUGGUGGGGACUGGGCGUCAGAAAGUCAAGUUAAUGUGAUAGAGUCCAAAGCCUGACACUUCUAUCUGUUCCAGGUUUUCCAAAUUGUUCUAAGUAGUUUUUGGUAUGGAGGAAAAAAAGGGACAAUAACACAUGCUGUUAUUUUCCUUAGGAUGGGCUGAAGGUAGGUAGUUAGGAAGAGGAAAAGAAACUAAGCAAUGGAAAAUGUAGGACGAAUAUUAAUCUGUUCCCAGCCUUAUUUUAUGCUAUGUGAAUUCCACUUUUCAGAAAGUGUGAUUACAUGUACACAAAUGAACUCUUAAGGUCUUUUCAGGAAGAUCCAUCAAGUCAUUCCAUUCAUUAAAGUUAUCAUUAUCCAUGACUGAGUAUUGUAGAUUGUUGUAUCUUUUUAUGACCCUGUGGGAUACUUAAUAGAUUAAAUCUUUUAACACAGAAACAUAAGAAUUGCCAUACUAGAUCAAACCAGUGGUUCAUCUAAUCCAGUAUCCACUCUUUGACAGUGUCCAGAAAAUUAGGGAAGGUGCAAGUAUCCAAACAGGACCAUUUUGGUGUAACUGGGCAUUUCUACAUGAGACGCUGUUUGUGCAGCAGCCGGAAAAUACUGCACAGUAGAGCACCACAGCACAGACAGUGGUAAUACACUGCUGCAUAGUACUAUUAGGUUGUUGCACAGUAGCAUCACCUAAAAGAUGUUCUCCAACACCACUGCACAAUAACUCUGGUUACUGUGCAGUAGCGCCUUAUGUAAAUGCACCCACUGAUUUUUAACCAAUAGCCAGUUAUUGAUUGAUUUAUGCCUCUAUGAUUUUACUCUGCCUAAUGCAGCCGCAAAUACCCUCAUUCUCCAUAUAAAUGGCUGACUCUCUUUGGAAUCUAAGAAGGUUUAGGGCUCAAAUCUGUCUUGUGGCAGUGAGUUCCAUACUCAAAAAUUCCUAUUUUCAGGUGUUUAAAAAAAAUAACUAU